UACUUCACACAUUUUCAUUCAUGUAAUUGUGUCAACAAUUCUUAGGUAACUGAGGUAAAAAAUGGUUAAGUAAGUUACCCAAGAUUACAUGACUAGAAAGUGGAAAAGAUAUUUUUUUAAGUUUAUUUAUUUAUUUUGAGAGAGAUCGUGUGAGAGAGUGGGAGUAGAGGUAGGGCAGAGAGAGAGAGGGAGAGAGAGAAUCCCACCAGCGCAGAGCCCAAUGCAGGCCCGAUGUGGGACCCAAACCCACCAAUGAAGAGAUCGUGAUCCCAGUGGAAGUCGGACACUUACCCAACUGAGCCACCCGGGCACACCGAAGGUGGAAAAUAUUUGACCCCGGCAGUCUGGUUCCAGAGCCUGGGCUGACUGUUCUACACCACAAUGGAAGGCCCAUAGCUCCCUGGUUACCCCUGUGUAACCAGCAUUGAGCACAGUGCUUGGCAGGGUGUAAGCAUCAAUAAACACUUGUCGAAUGAAGAUACACCUGAAUGAUCCCUCCAUUAGAGGAGGCAGUAUGUAUGUCUUCAUAGUGCUCGGUGCUUCAGAAAGACGGAUGAACAAUUCCGGGUAUUAUAAUGAGUCCAGGUUUUAUUAGCACCUUGGCAUCUCCCUGCAGUUAGUCUCUGCUUCUCAUUCCAGGUGGAAACACCAAGACAAAACAGAAAAGUCAAGAAUGGAGUGUUUCAUUCUUCCCCAGACAGCAAUUCAUACAGAUGUCUACUGGGUAUGCUUCACACCCAGUGCAGAGCCCAACGCAGGGCUUGAACUCAUAACCCUGAGAUCAAGACCUGGAUGCUUAACCAACUGAGCCACACAGGUGCCCCACCCAGGUACAGAUUUGAAACCAAGGGUGCUCACUAUUUAUAUAGAAGAUGACAAUGUAGUUUCUGCAUACUAUAGGAGAACUCUAAGUGUUUGAGGGAUGGGUAGAAAAUAGUGUGAAGAAGGAAACACUUGUUUGAAACUAAUGUCACUGUGUUCAUCAUGUUUUUUGUUUCCCGUGUCUUAUGGUGUUUUAAUAUUUGGGAGGCCUUCCAUCCCCAGGGAGAGACUGCCCCUCCCGGUGCUAGCUACUUCCUAAGGAUAAUGGCAACCUGCCUAGAACUAUGCCUUCUGUAUGCACGUAUAGUCUCGUGUGUAUCCCCUCAACACUCUCCCUGACUCUCCGACAGCACACCAGUGUUAACCCCGACCUAAGUCAUCCCAGGGCCAGGUACCAGUCAAUCAGAGAUCAUCCCUAUAGCCCCAAACUGGCCUGAAUUAUUCAAACUGGCUAAUUCUAAAAUGUUUGCUCUGCCCAGCCUUGACUUUCCCACACAAACCCCGAUAAAGGCGCAGGCCUAGGCUUUCCCCUGGCUUCUGCUUCUGUGUCCUAACUACAACCUGGUACCCACCCCUGUGACCCUGCGUGGUGUGGUGGGCCCCCUUCUCUGUGGUAAUGUAAGUAAUAAACUCUUUUUUUCAAUGGCAUUGACCUCGCCAUGUCGUCGUUCCAUUACUUCCGUAAAUUAAAAUCUCAUGGGUACAAAUGAGACAAUGAUCUACAUUCAGUGUUUGUUGAGUGUGGAAACUGGGAGAAUUCCCUGGCCUCCAUGUUCUUUGUAGGUACGGUUGGCUCACCUGCUUAGGACACCUUACAAAUGAUAAUCCAGACUUCUAACUCAGUCCCCACGCAGGCCAUGUAGCUUUAUAGCAUUUCAUGAUCACGCAUCCAACCCCGAGACUGGGCCAAAUUCCCAAAAUAAAUGUUUUAUCUUAAAGUAUAAUGUGACAGGCAUGUGGGGAUAGAGGUGGAGAAUGACAGAUAAUCACUUCAGCUUGUUAUUUUGGAACCGUUAGUCAUAGGACAUGCCCUACUGAAGCUAGGUCCCUAGUACUGUCUUCCCAUAUAAAACUGAACUCAUAAAGAAGGCAUCCAGAUGGCCAACCGACACAUGAAAAAAUGCUCAACCUCGCUCUCAUCAUCAGGGAAAUACAAAUCAAAAGCCUAAUGAGAUACCACCUCACUCCUGUCA